UACGUAGGGUGCAAGCGUUGUCCGGAAUUAUUGGGCGUAAAGAGCUCGUAGGUGGCCUGUCGCGUCGGCUGUGAAAACUCGGGGCUCAACUCCGAGCUUGCAGUCGAUACGGGCAGGCUAGAGUUCGGCAGGGGAGACUGGAAUUCCUGGUGUAGCGGUGAAAUGCGCAGAUAUCAGGAGGAACACCGGUGGCGAAGGCGGGUCUCUGGGCAGGAACUGACGCUGAGGAGCGAAAGCGUGGGGAGCGAACAGG
rnacentral:rRNA from 1 species